UGGAUGUGCUCUAAUGUUCUUGAAAUAUGUGUUUUCAAUCUUAAUAAUUUAAGAUGAGCUACAAUGUAGAAGAUGCAUAUCUCAAAUUAUAAUCCUGAAAGGCUCCUUGAAAAUUUUUAUGAAAUUCAGAAUCUGAUUUUGUAUAAAAGCCUAAACUUAAUUUAAAAAUGCUUCUAUCGUUGCAUUUUUGUAACUUUCAUUAUAUGCUUCAAUGAUUGCAUCAUUUUGGGGAAUAACUCAAUAUGAUUUCUAGAUGAAAACUACGGUUUAAGAAAAAUAGAAUUACUUUUGAUGCCUUGAUUGUUUGCUCCGAUACGCAUCUGAAACAUAUCAUUUUCUAUCUUAUAAGUUUAUUAAAAUUAGUCUAAAUGAUGCGUUUUUCAAUGAUCUUGAUUGCGAACAAAUGUUUCUAAACAUAUGAUAUUAUUUUGAUAUUAAAAAGAUUUAUGGUGCUUCAUAUAUACAUUGCUGAAAAACUAUAACUAAGAAAUUAAUAUUUUGAAUAUACACUCCUACAUAAUUAAAUGCUUCUAUCAUUAAAAAGAAAAGCUAUUUUUAAGAAGAGAGUUAAUGAUCCUAAAGCUUAGAAUAUUUCAAC
rnacentral:lncRNA from 1 species